rnacentral:rRNA from 1 species
GUGGAUCCCUGGCUUGUGGGUCGAUGAAGAACGGAGCAAACUCCGUGUUGUCGUGUGAACUGCAGGACACAUGAACAUCGACACUUUGAACGCAAAUGGCGGCCCUCG